rfam:Gossypium raimondii Chr07_contig_27, whole genome shotgun sequence.
UGUUAAAAAUUUCAUCCAUUUCUACUAUUAAAAAUUGACGUAGUUGAUGGAAUAACCAGACAACUGCACACGGCGUGCCACAUGUGCCUUAUUUUGAUGUAUAUGGACUUGUUUUUAAUAAUAGAAUUUGAUGGAAAUUUUAACA